rnacentral:rRNA from 1 species
UACGGAGGAUCCAAGCGUUAUCCGGAUUCAUUGGGUUUAAAGGGUGCGUAGGCGGAACGAUAAGUCAGUGGUGAAAGCCCUCAGCUUAACUGAGGAACUGCCAUUGAUACUGUCGAUCUUGAGUACAUUUGAUGUGGGCGGAAUGUGUCAUGUAGCGGUGAAAUGCUUAGAUAUGACACAGAACACCGAUUGCGAAGGCAGCUCACAAAACUGUAACUGACGCUGAGGCACGAAAGCGUGGGUAUCAAACAGGAUUAGAAACCCCGGUAGU